GAUCUAUGGUGCUCAAGAAAGGAUUUUUAAAUUGACAGGCUGAAAGAUACCAGCAUUGGGAGAGUUUAUUAAACCCACAGCCAAUGAACUUGGUUCAGCCAAUGUCUUUAAAAGAAUGAGUGUCUGAAAAGCUGCAGGGCCCUGUAUCGUUUUAGCACUGAAAAAUGAGACAGAGAUUUUGAACAGUGUGAAAUGGACAUUCUGUUCUGCAGUCGAAAGUGUGUGAGAGAGGAAAGAGACUGUACCAGAAGAAGAACGAAGAAGAAAGUCUGAACAGGGACAGAUUUAUUCAAAGCGCUGUCUACAGUUCCUUUCAAGACUUCAGAAACUCGAGAACUACUCGGAAUGUGAGCGGACGGGGCAGGAGUGAAGUGAAGGAGAGUAAAAUGGUGGGGAUGAUGCCAGCACUGAAUUCUCGAGUCACGUUACUGAACAUAGUGGUAAGUUUCUUCACCGUGUUGACUUUUGCCCAACAGUUUACCCUUAACAGUUGGGAACAGCAGAUGACAGAAACUAACUCCCAAGAAGAACUGGUGGGGGAAAAAAACGCUGGAGAAAAUGAGUAAUAGAUGUAAUGUCGUGAGCCCUGCCCUUAAGCU
rnacentral:lncRNA from 1 species